AGAGCGAACGCUGGCGGCAGGCCUAACACAUGCAAGUCGAACGGACUCUUCGGAGUUAGUGGCGGACGGGUGAGUAACACGUGGGAACGUGCCUUUAGGUUCGGAAUAGCUCCUGGAAACGGGUGGUAAUGCCGAAUGUGCCCUUCGGGGGAAAGAUUUAUCGCCUUUAGAGCGGCCCGCGUCUGAUUAGCUAGUUGGUGAGGUAAAGGCUCACCAAGGCUACGAUCAGUAGCUGGUCUGAGAGGAUGACCAGCCACAUUGGGACUGAGACACGGCCCAAACUCCUACGGGAGGCAGCAGUGGGAAUCUUGCGCAAUGGGCGAAAGCCUGACGCAGCCAUGCCGCGUGAAUGAUGAAGGUCUUAGGAUUGUAAAAUUCUUCAGUAGGGACGAUAAUGACGGUACCUACAGAAGAAGCCCGCUAACUCGUGCCAGCAGCCGC
rnacentral:rRNA from 1 species